rnacentral:rRNA from 1 species
AACGAACGCUGGCGGCGUGCUUAACACAUGCAAGUCGAACGCGAAAGGGACUUCGGUCCCGAGUAGAGUGGCGCACGGGUGAGUAACGCGUAAGUAAUCUACCCCUGUAUUCGGAAUAACCUACCGAAAGGUGAGCUAAUACCGGAUACGUUUAUCUUGAUGCGAAUGAUGAUAAAGAAAGGUGGCCUCUUCAUGAAAGCUACUGUACAGGGAUGAGCUUGCGUACCAUUAGCUAGUUGGUAGGGUAAUGGCCUACCAAGGCGACGAUGGUUAGCGGGUCUGAGAGGAUGAUCCGCCACACUGGAACUGAAACACGGACCAGACUCCUACGGGAGGCAGCAGUGAGGAAUAUUGCGCAAUGGGGGGCAACCCUGACGCAGCAACGCCGCGUGAGUGAGGAAGGUUUUCGGACCGUAAAGCUCUGUCGAGCGGGAAGAAAUGCAUGGUGGCUAAUAUCCAUCAUGCUUGACGGUACCGCUAAAGG